UGUCUGUGAAGUUUAUCUUAUCUGGUUAAUGGGUUAUUCAGCUCCCUUGCUUCUCUCCUCUCCCACUUUUCUUUUGAACUCUUUUUUCAGCCGAAGACUUUUACCCAAAAAUGAGCUUGAAGAGGAAGACACCAGUUGCUUU
rfam:Camelus ferus unplaced genomic scaffold scaffold461, whole genome shotgun sequence.